rnacentral:lncRNA from 1 species
CUGAACACCUUAGACAAGGGAGUUAGAGUUAUGCUAGGCUAUUCCAAGUGUUGGAAUGCUAAUGUAUACAAGAACUUGAGAAGUUAGUGUGUAAAAGCGUGAAAAAGCUAGGUUUAAAGGGUCAAAACCCAAUCUAUGCUUUGCAAACCUAAAGGAAUGCUAAAACUAGUUCUAAAUAAAUAUAAUUCAAGUGUUGGAAUGAACCAAAGUGGCUAGAAGUGAAAUUGGC